GACAGGACCAGAAGUGUAUUCACCCUUCUCAGCUCCUCCCUUCACUGAUCGCUAUGCUGUGAGCGGCUUUCCUCUCCCUGCCCCUCUGUAAUGCCAUUGGCUACGGAGCCAGCUAAAUAUGGAUUAAAAUGUGAGCCAAAAUGAGCACCUCCACCUUCAAGUUGUGGGUAUCCUGCAUGUAUCCCAGCAAGGAGAAAGUUACUAAGACAAAGCUAAAAGUGAGACUCUUAGGUAACGAAAGGUCAGAUUUUAAACUUCAGCCAAGGAUUUCUAACUAUUAAUGAGAAUGUAGCAAGAGCCACAGUUCAGCUGCCUGUCUCAGCGCAAAGUGACAGGGCAACUAGAGGCCGGGUACACGAUGCUGCUUUGGCCCGCAGCCCUCAGUGUACAGCCACCAGCUCAGCAAGCUGCUGCACUGUGAGGACGAGCCAGGUGGCAGCCUCCGACAGCAGGUUCGCAGAAACAGAAGAACUGAAGACAUUCAGCUGCAAGAAGGAAGCAAGAAAAUGAUUCUAAGAACGAAGAACAACAAAAAUGCCUUGCAGCUGAGGAAGGAAGACAGAAAGGCCCUUCACAGGGAGUAAGAGAACUCAAGUCUCAGCUCGGGGUUAGACAGGAGUGAGAGGACCCUUUGCAUCGCUCCUUACUAAGCCUAAGUAUUGCUCCA
rnacentral:lncRNA from 1 species